GGCAUACCUGAAUUGCAGGCGGGGACCCAGUGCAUCCACUACCCAGAUUGAGAAUGUGAUGCUUUGAUGAGCUGCUGGAGUUGAGUCAAUGGGGAGAUAAUAGAACAAUAGACAUGCUUAUUGGAGACAUCUAUGGUGGUAUGGACUAUUCCAAGAUUGGGCUCUCAGCAUCAACCAUUGCUUCCAGCUUUGGAAAGGCAAUUUCUGAAAAUAAGGAGCUUUCAGACUACAGACCUGAAGAUAUUUCCCUUUCCCUCUUGCGAAUGAUUUCAUACAACAUUGGGUAGGUGAGUUGCUCAAAGAUGUCCCUAAGUAGUCAUCAUCACAAUCACCGUCACCACCAUCACCAUCACUGCCACUACCAUCACCACGACUAACAUUAAUUAUCAUUGUCGUAGCUAUUUAGGUUGGCUUUGUGAAUCAUGUUUCAUCCAUCAUUCCAAUCCAAGCCAUGGAUUGCUAACUUGUCUGAAUCGACUUGGACUUGGUCGAGUCUAAUCUGGUUCACUAUAAU